CCUACGGGAGGCAGCAGUGAGGAAUAUUGGUCAAUGGGCGAGAGCCUGAACCAGCCAAGUCGCGUGAGGGAAGACGGUCCUACGGAUUGUAAACCUCUUUUGUCGGGGAGUAAUAGGCGGGACGUGUCCUGCUGUGAGAGUACCCGAAGAAAAAGCAUCGGCUAACUCCGUGCCAGCAGCCGCGGUAAUACGGAGGAUGCGAGCGUUAU
rnacentral:rRNA from 1 species